rnacentral:rRNA from 1 species
CCUACGGGUGGCAGCAGUGAGGAAUAUUGGUCAAUGGACGAGAGUCUGAACCAGCCAUGUAGCGUGAAGGAUGACUGCCCUAUGGGUUGUAAACUUCUUUUAUAUGGGAAUAAAAUGUUCCACGUGUGGGAUUUUGUAUGUACCAUAUGAAUAAGGAUCGGCUAACUCCGUGCCAGCAGCCGCGGUAAUACGGAGGAUCCGAGCGUUAUCCGGAUUUAUUGGGUUUAAAGGGAGCGUAGGUGGAUUGUUAAGUCAGUUGUGAAAGUUUGGGGCUCAACCGUAGAAUUGCAGUUGAAACUGGCAGUCUUGAGUGCAGUAGAGGUAGGCGGAAUUCGUGGUGUAGCGGUGAAAUGCUUAGAUAUCACGAAGAACUCCGAUUGCGAAGGCAGUUCACUGGACUGCAACUGACACUGAGGCUCGAAAGUGUGGGUAUCAAACAGGAUUAGAUACCCGUGUAGUC